UGCAGAUGCAGAGAUUGAGGGAGGAGCUGAGCUGUUGGUGAACUAUAGAAGAGACACAAACUUCCACUUUCAACACAGUUCAACACACAAAAGCCAAACAUCAGCUUCAUCCAACAUGCUGUCUGUGCAGACAUCUGUGUUCACUCUGCUGCUUCUAGUCAUUGGAACAGAUGUCAGCUGUGAAGAACUCACUGCAGUCAAGAAGGAAGAGUCCACUUUGGAAGGAACUUCUGUCACUCUGUCCUACAAAUAUAAAAAUGCUGCAACAGGAAGUGAUUAUUUCUUCUGGUAUCGACAGUUUCAAGGAAAACCUCCAGAGUUCUUGAUCUCUCACUUUGGAACAGGAACACCAAUUUCCCAGCCAGUUCCUGGAUUUUCCUUCAAAGUGAGUGACGAGCAAAGACAAAUGGAUCUGCAGAUCUCCUCUGCUGCAGUGACAGACUCUGCUGUGUACUACUGUGCUGUGCAGCCCACAGUGACAGGAAACAACAAAACUCUGUACAAAAACCUGCAGAGAAAACACAAAACUGCACAACAUCCACUAGAGGGCAUCGCACACUGAAUAGACAGAUGAAGCAGUAAAGAUCAGAGACAGUGCUUCUGUGGAAGAACUAAAUCUUUUAGGUAGUUGAUUGAUGGAGAGGAGGAUAAGUGUGGCUCCAGCCAAGAGAAAACAGCACUAUGUACAUGGAAGA